UGCCGCUGGGAUUUAUACAACAAGGUAAUGUUAAACUUAUUUGGAUUCCUGUGUUUGUGGUGUGGGCUUUUGAUUUGGAAGUUGAGGAAACCGUUUUGCCUAGGGUCAACGUAGAUUUGAAUAUGAGUUCCUAUAAAUAAUAGGGAUUUGUUUUCAUAUGCUGGGGAAGGAUAUUUGCCUUGAUUAUCACUGGUUUACUUGAUUAGCUUAGAUUUAAAUAGCUGACCUAGGACAUUAUUAGCCUUG
rnacentral:misc_RNA from 1 species